GACUGUUUGCUGAUUUGUAAACAGUAGCGGGUCAGGCGGAUGUGCUGAAGACCAGCUGACUGCUCACGUGACCACGGAGCCGAGACCGACGGUGUCUGCAGGCUGUAAACGCUUAAAAUACAACACAGUUGAUUUCAAGCAGUAAAUUGGAGGGAUUUACCAAAGAUAAGACAAAAUGUCCUGCCUGAGGAGGAUGGAAGAACAACCAGAGGGAUCUUCUACAAUCUGUCUUUUCAUCACCUUCCUCCUCCUGUUCCCCCAGAGGUAUGUUUGACUGCGGCUCUGUGCAGCCAUUCUGCUUGUCUUGGCUGUGUUUUGGGCUCUGGCUAUUGUGCUGAUGCUGAUCGUGGUCCUGGC